GACGGAGGGGGCAAGCGUUGUUCGGAAUCAUUGGGCGUAAAGGGCUCGUAGGCGGAACAGCAAGUCUGACGUGAGAUCUCCACCGCUCACCGGGGAGAGGCCGUUGGAUACUACUGAUCUGGAGUUCGGUAGAGGAUCGUGGAAUUUCGGGUGUAGCGGUGGAAUGCGUAGAUAUCCGAAAGAACACCGGUGGCGAAGGCGGCGAUCUGGGCCUGAACUGACGCUGAGGAGCGAAAGCCAGGGGAGCAAACGGG
rnacentral:misc_RNA from 1 species